rnacentral:rRNA from 1 species
UACGGAGGAUGCGAGCGUUAUCCGGAUUUAUUGGGUUUAAAGGGUGCGCAGGCGGAAGCGCAAGUCAGCGGUAAAAUUGAGAGGCUCAACCUCUUCCCGCCGUUGAAACUGCGUUUCUUGAGUGGGCGAGAAGUACGCGGAAUGCGUGGUGUAGCGGUGAAAUGCAUAGAUAUCACGCAGAACUCCGAUUGCGAAGGCAGCGUACCGGCGCCCAACUGACGCUCAUGCACGAAAGCGUGGGUAUCGAACAG